UACGGAGGGGGCUAGCGUUGUUCGGAAUUACUGGGCGUAAAGCGCACGUAGGCAGCUUUGUAAGUUAGAGGUGAAAGCCCGGAGCUCAACUCCGGAACUGCCUUUAAGACUGCAUCGCUUGAACGUCGGAGAGGUAAGUGGAAUUCCGAGUGUAGAGGUGAAAUUCGUAGAUAUUCGGAAGAACACCAGUGGCGAAGGCGACUUACUGGACGACUGUUGACGCUGAGGUGCGAAAGCGUGGGGAGCAAACAGG
rnacentral:rRNA from 1 species